CCUGGCGGCAACAGCGCGGUGGUCCCACCUGACCCCAUGCCGAACUCAGAAGUGAAACGCCGUAGCGCCGAUGGUAGUGUGGGG
rnacentral:rRNA from 1 species